GACGAACGCUGGCGGCGCGCCUAACACAUGCAAGUCGAACGGAGCUGAGAGAAGCUUGCUUUUCUUAGCUUAGUGGCGAACGGGUGAGUAACGCGUGAGUAACCUGCCCUGGAGUGGGGGACAACAGUUGGAAACGACUGCUAAUACCGCAUAAGCCCACGAUCCGGCAUCGGAUUGAGGGAAAAGGAUUUAUUCGCUUCAGGAUGGACUCGCGUCCAAUUAGCUAGUUGGUGAGGUAACGGCCCACCAAGGCGAGGAUUGGUAGCCGGACUGAGAGGUUGAACGGCCACAUUGGGACUGAGACACGGCCCAGACUCCUACGGGAGGCAGCAGUGGGGGAUAUUGCACAAUGGGGGAAACCCUGAUGCAGCGACGCCGCGUGGAGGAAGAAGGUUUUCGGAUUGUAAACUCCUGUCGUUAGGGACGAUAAUGACGGUACCUAACAAGAAAGCACCGGCUAACUACGUG
rnacentral:rRNA from 1 species